GAGGGAAUCUUGCACAAUGGGCGAAAGCCAGAUGCAGCGACGCCGCGUGGGCGAUGAAGGCCUUCGGGUUGUAAAGCCCUUUUCCGAGGGAAGAGAAGGGACGGUACCUCGGGAAUAAGCCUCGGCUAACUACGUGCCAGCAGCCGCGGUAAUACGUAGGAGGCUAGCGUUAUCCGGAUUCAUUAGGCGUAAAGCGUGCGCAGGCGGUCUUGCAAGUCGGGCGUGAAAGCCCUCGGCUCAACCGGGGGAGGUCGUCCGAAACUGCGGGGCUUGAGGUCAGGAGAGGAGAGCGGAAUUCCCAGUGUAGCGGUGAAAUGCGUAGAUAUCGGGAGGAACACCAGUGGCGAAGGCGGCUCUCUGGCCUGCACCUGACGCUAAUGCACGAAAGCGUGGGGAGCGAUCGG
rnacentral:rRNA from 1 species